rnacentral:rRNA from 1 species
AGUGAACGCUGGCGGUAGGCCUAACACAUGCAAGUCGAACGGCAGCACAGUAAGAGCUUGCUCUUACGGGUGGCGAGUGGCGGACGGGUGAGGAAUACAUCGGAAUCUACUUUUUCGUGGGGGAUAACGUAGGGAAACUUACGCUAAUACCGCAUACGACCUACGGGUGAAAGCAGGGGAUCUUCGGACCUUGCGCGAUUGAAUGAGCCGAUGUCGGAUUAGCUAGUUGGCGGGGUAAAGGCCCACCAAGGCGACGAUCCGUAGCUGGUCUGAGAGGAUGAUCAGCCACACUGGAACUGAGACACGGUCCAGACUCCUACGGGAGGCAGCAGUGGGGAAUAUUGGACAAUGGGGGCAAGCCUGAUCCAGCCAUACCGCGUGGGUGAAGAAGGCCUUCGGGUUGUAAAGCCCUUUUGUUGGGAAGGAAAAGCAGCAGGUUAAUACCCCGCUGUUCUGACGGUACCCAAAGAAUAAGCACCGGCUAACUUCGUG